rnacentral:rRNA from 1 species
GACGUAGGGGACGAGCGUUGUCCGGAUUCAUUGGGCGUAAAGAGCGUGUAGGCGGCCUGACAGGUCUGCUGUGAAAACUCGAGGCUCAACCUCGAGAUGUCGGCGGAAACCGUCUGGCUAGAGUCCGGAAGAGGAGAGUGGAAUUCCUGGUGUAGCGGUGAAAUGCGCAGAUAUCAGGAGGAACACCGGUGGCGAAGGCGGGUCUCUGGGCCGAUACUGACGCUGAGGAGCGAAAGCGUGGGGAGCGAACAGG